rnacentral:misc_RNA from 1 species
UUGAGUUAAAAAAAACUCUCCAAUUCUCUGUGAACAUGUAUAUAUUUUCUGCCUCGGCAGGUAUUUCUUCGGAGUACAUGCCGGAGGAACUUUUAAAACGCUAUAUUUUCAAGUCUUUCUCAGUAUUAAAAAAAAACAAACAAUAAAAACUUUUAGCAACGGAUCUCUUGGCUCUAGCAUCGAUGAAGAACGCAGCGAAAUGCGAUAAGUAAUGCGAAUUGCAGAAUCUAGUGAGUCAUCGAAUCUUUGAACGCAUAUUGCGCCUACUAGCUAUUCUAGUAGGCAUGCCUAUUUGAGCGUCAUUUAAAGCAUUUAUACCUUGUAUAGUGUUGGAGAAUAGCGAAUAAACGACGCUAUCUCUAAAAUAAAGAAGCAAGCAAUUCAACCUCUCUUCUUGUAGAGUAAAAGCUACAAAUGCAAGAAGUCGAGGAAAGGAAAGCUUUUAAACAUAAACCUAUAA